AACCUACACAGAAAUGGAGUCUUUUAUCCCAGGGCCUGUCUCACACCUCCAUCCUCCUCAUAGUGGUGGGCAUCAUCACCUUCCUGGGUAGCAUUGGGGCGUUGUCUGACAGACAGUUUGCAUUUUGCUUUUGGAGAGUAACAUCUUGGUUGUUUGUACUCUGUAGUUCACACACUUCCCAAUGCUGAUCCUCGGUGUCUGGGAUUCUCUUCUAUGUCUUCAGAAACAAGGUGGAGAGAAGGAUCACCCUGAAAGUUAACGAGGUGAUCAUGCAGCACAGCCCCAGGGAUAAGGUUGUCAUCGACCUACAACAUGCAGGCUUUGUGCAGGUGAUCAAAGAGUCCCUGAAGAGGAACCUGGUGUGGCUGGGUGCCGCCUGCAUCAUACUGGGUCUCAUAGAGUUAGUGAGAUGCAUCGUGGGAAUGAAGCUCUUUCGGGAUGUCAAGAAGAGAGAGGUGUAUGAGAAUUUAGGUUAAAGAGGGAGGGACUGGCUUCGGUCAAGACAAUGCCCAUACUAUUCUAUUAUAAAUCGGGGGAGAAUGCUGUGACUCUCAUCAUAAUGCAGUUUAGAUCAUGUGCAGCCUAUUGUCCUUCCAAAUAUUGAAUUGUUAUCAGUGAUUGGUUGUUUUGUUGUUGUUUUUUCUGGAAUGUUCCGAUUUUUUAUGGUGGUGGA